rnacentral:rRNA from 1 species
UACGUAGGGGGCGAGCGUUGUCCGAAGUUACUGGGCGUAAAGAGUACGUAGGUGGCUUGUUAAGAUACAUCUGAAAGGUGACAGCUCAACUGUCAAUGGUGGUGUAAGACUGGCAGGCUUGAGGCAAGCAGAAGAGUGUGGAACUCCGAGUGUAGCGGUGGAAUGCGUAGAGAUCGGAAGAACACCCAUGGCGAAGGCAGCACUCUGGGCUUGAACCGCAAGGUGAACCUGACACUGAGGUACGGAAAGCCAGGGGAGCGAACGGG